rnacentral:rRNA from 1 species
GACGAACGCUGGCGGCGUGCCUAAUACAUGCAAGUAGGACGCAGUUGCGAACGGGUGAGUAACGCGUAGGUAACUACCUAUUAGAGGGGGAUAACUAUUGGAAACGAUAGCUAAUACCGCAUACUAGUAGAUGGACCUGCGUUGUAUUAGAUAGUAGGUAGGGUAAUGGCCUACCUAGGCAACGAUACAUAGCCGACCGGAGAGGGUGAUCGGGUACACUGGGACUGAGACACGGCCCGGACGCCGCCAGGAGACAGCAGUAUGGAAUCUUCGGUAAUGGGGGGAACCCUGACCGAGCAACGCCGCGUGAGUGAAGAAGGUUUUCGGAUCGUAAAGCUCUGUUGUUAAGGAAGCGGUACUUAACCAGAAAGGGACGGCUAACUACUUGCCAGCAGCGCGGUAAUUC